GUGAGUUUCUGCAUUGGUUGUGGAGUGUGAGAGCAAAGGAGGGGGCAGGAAGCUCUAACGAGUUUGGCCCCAGCACGGGGAGGCUGGAGCUGCCAGUGACUGCAGUGGGAAGAACUGUGAGGAGCUGGCCUGGGCAGGAGGACCAGGGUGGCAUGUUGGACAUGGGAAGCCAGGAGGCCUGUGGGCCAUCCCACAGCGCUGUGAACUAUGCAGCCCAAUGUAAGCAUAUCUGAAAUUAGGAGUGGUGGAGAAACAAAAAGAACAAGGAUAGUUCAUAUUAACACAGUAAUAAUUUUGUAAUUUUAUAAUUUUCAAAUCAUUAAAGAUUUUACUACUUUCUUAACUACUCCAGGAGCUUGUGUCACAUUCCAGUCACAGAGAGGAAACUGGGGGCCAUGCAGGGUAAAGGUCAAAGCCUGCAUGCUGGGACUCAAGUGCUUCUUCCCCAGCAGUGUUAGAGCACCGACUCUCAGGAACACAGAGACUUGAAGAGAGUGUCUGGGUCGUGGACUGUGAGUCAGAGAAACCAAGCCAGGGGCAUGCAAGGCAGCACAAGGCAGAGCAGGGGAACCCAGCAAGGGAGGCGGCAACACAGAGUGACCUAGAAAAGCCUGAUGAACUGAGAGCCAGCCCACAGCAGUCCCCAUGUGCCUCUGCGUCUUGGUCCACAUGACAGACUCUCCCUCCCUUCCUUCCUUCCUCUCCUCUGGUGACCAGUAGCCAAAACAUCACCGGCACGCUGCUGGCAUCCAGCCUGCCAAUUAGUUCAGGAGCCACUCCCUCUGACUGCCUCCUGAGCCUCAGAUGUUACCUCCCCCGUCUCCCAAACACACCCCUCCAGCUCUGUCCUGCCUGCCCUGAAUCUCUGGAAGGAAAACUGGCCCCGGGACCUGCCUCGGACUCUCUGGCUCCCCUCAUCCAGCCCCUCCCUCCGCAGAGGACGGUAUCUCGCACACUUUUAUCUGCCAUUUCUGGGCACCUUUGCGAGGGUCCUUGAAACCAGUGCUUGAUAGAGUUAUCCACGCCCAUGUGAGGCUCCCCUGUCCCCUGGGUGGCAUAUGUGGCAGGAGAAGCAGGGAGGAGCUUCAAGGAAGCAGAGGAAAGGAACCUGUAAGAGCUCUUGGGAUGGCUUCCAGGAAGCUGUGAAGAUAGAGCCAUGCUGAAAGGAGAAAGGCAAAGGCUACAGAGAAGUGAACACUGAAGAGAAAUUAGGCAAGAAUAAGGCCUACAAAGUUAGAGGAAGGGAAUGGGAGGGCAAAACAACAGCACCAGAAAGGAAUGAGGAGGCCGGGCAUGGUGGCUCAUGCCUGUAAUCACAGCACUUUGGGAGGCUAAGGCGGGCGAAUCACCUGAGGUCAAGAUUUGAGACCAGCCUGACCAACAUGGAGAAACCCCGUCUCUACUAAAAAUACAAAAUUAGCCGGGCAUGGUGGUGCAUGUCUGUAAUUCCAGCUGCUCGGUGAGGCUGAGGCAGGAGAAUUGCUUGAACCCGGGAGGCGGAGGUUGUGGUGAGCCAGCACGCCACUGCACUCCAGCCUGGGCAACAAGAGCAAAACUCCAUCUCAAAAAAAAGAAAAAGAAAAA
rnacentral:lncRNA from 1 species